rnacentral:lncRNA from 1 species
AAGGAGGAGAAGUUAUGAAAUUGUGUUUUUCCCCAGCAACGUGGAAGGUGGUUGACUGCCUACAACGGAAACCACAGCACUGGGGUUUGCAGAGUGAUUUUGGGUCACUCUGUCUGAACGCCGUGCUCUGAUGAACAUCAGGCAUGGGGAGGAGCUGGUUGGUUGGGGCUGCAGGAAUCUUGCUGCUGUUGGGCUGCCUUGAAGCCUUGAAGACCAUCUCAUACUCAUCCCUUCUGCCCCACACAGGUGCUGGUGGGAUGGAGCCAGAGACCUGCAGCCCCUUAGGUGAUUUCCCCCCACCAGCUCUCCUACCAAACAUCUCUUCGGCUCAGGAAGGCAAUUUGGUUCUGGCCCGUUGCCUGGUUUUCUCCCAUCUCCCCGUCACCCACAUCUUCUUCUGCAAGAACGGGGUGGUGGUGGAGAACCACCCCGUGGGUCCCCAGCAGUUCACUGCCACGCUCACCAUCCAGCUUUCUGCAGAGAGCAGCGGGACCUACUGCUGUGGGUACCGACGGCGGAGCAACGUCGGGCACAUCAAGAUCUCAAGUUUGAGCAUCCCGUGGCUCCUGACCACCAGAGGUAGGAAGGGUGAGCUGAGGAACACCACCACCACCACCACAGAGAUGCCAGCUGAAGGGCUGGGAAUCUCACUCAGCCUGGCCCUUGUGGUCAUCUCCCUCCUGGUUCUGGCUUUGAGCAUCCACCUCUUCCUGCAGACAGGUAAGAGUGACCCCAACCAACACCACCCUACUGCGUGGUGCCCAUUAACCACAGCUUCCAAUCCAGGAGCUGUGGGCGGGCGUGCUGGAGCUGAGCACGCCAAGGUUGGGAUCAGGAGGCACAAAGUGGGCUUCUCACACCCAAGAUGCUGCACUCACCUGGUGUGGAUGCUCAGCUAUGCAGGUAUGGUCCAAAAAAGGACAUUCACACACCCAUUGCCACAUCCUGCUUGCAGGAAAGCGAGUCCAGCUGGCCAGCUUGAAGCAUUGCAUUCAUCCCCCAGUGGAAGAUCCCAGCAUUUCACAAAGGAAAAGUCCUCCAGGAUCUCUUGCAUCUGGAUGACUUCUUGUUGGACCACAGACAUAGCUCCUGGCUACCAAGAUUGCAGCCUCCAGUGGACAUGGCAGGGGGAAUUGGCCCCAGACAGCAUCCCUUUGGCCCAACACCACUGCUCUGCAUAGGCAAGCACCAACUGCACCUCUCCAGAUUUUCCAUUGCCAUAACGAUAGCCCUUGGCCCUGGAAGUCCAUUCAUUAAUUAAAAAGAUGCUUUUCUCUCUGAAAAUCAACUCUUUUCAUUCGUCUCUGAAUAUUUCCCACCUGCUCAAUUUCCCACCAGGUUUGAGCCUCAGUCCUGGAUGACUCUCAGCCUCAGAGAGGUAUGGUUGAUAACCAUGCUGGUGGCCACCGAGAUAUCUUUCUUGCCCAAAGCAGCACCAGGUCCCUUUGCCAACAUCACCCAAGUGUUAAGGAGCAUAAUAAAUCCAAUGGCUUUUCCCA